CGGACGCUGACGAGUGGCGAACGGGUGAGUAAUACAUCGGAACGUGCCCAGUCGUGGGGGAUAACUACUCGAAAGAGUAGCUAAUACCGCAUACGAUCUGAGGAUGAAAGCGGGGGACCUUCGGGCCUCGCGCGAUUGGAGCGGCCGAUGGCAGAUUAGGUAGUUGGUGGGAUAAAAGCUUACCAAGCCGACGAUCUGUAGCUGGUCUGAGAGGACGACCAGCCACACUGGGACUGAGACACGGCCCAGACUCCUACGGGAGGCAGCAGUGGGGAAUUUUGGACAAUGGGCGAAAGCCUGAUCCAGCAAUGCCGCGUGCAGGAUGAAGGCCUUCGGGUUGUAAACUGCUUUUGUACGGAACGAAAAAGUCUCCUCUAAUACAGGGGGCCCAUGACGGUACCGUAAGAAUAAGCACCGGCUAACUACGUGCCAGCAGCCGCGGUAAUACGUAGGGUGCGAGCGUUAAUCGGAAUUACUGGGCGUAAAGCGUGCGCAGGCGGUUUUGUAAGACAGAGGUGAAAUCCCCGGGCUCAACCUGGGAACUGCCUUUGUGACUGCAAGGCUAGAGUACGGCAGAGGGGGAUGGAAUUCCGCGUGUAGCAGUGAAAUGCGUAGAUAUGCGGAGGAACACCGAUGGCGAAGGCAAUCCCCUGGGCCUGUACUGACGCUCAUGCAC
rnacentral:rRNA from 1 species